GAUGAAGAACGUAGCGAAAUGCGAUAAGUAAUGUGAAUUGCAGAAUUCAGUGAAUCAUCGAAUCUUUGAACGCACAUUGCGCCCGCCAGCACUCUGGCGGGCAUGCCUGUUCGAGCGUCAUUUCAACCAUCAAGCCCCCAGGGGCUUGUGCUGGGGCCCUGCGGCUGCCGCAGCCUCCCAAAAACAGUGGCGGGCUCGCUAUCACACCGAGUGCAGUAGUUUACUCUUCGCUCAGGGCGUGUGGCGGGUGCUAGCCGUGAAACCCCCUACUUCUCAAGGUUGACCUCGGAUCAGGUAGGAAUACCCGCUGAACUUAAGCAUAUCAAUAAGCGGAGGA
rnacentral:misc_RNA from 1 species